AAAUUGAAGAGUUUGAUCAUGGCUCAGAUUGAACGCUGGCGGCAGGCCUAACACAUGCAAGUCGAACGGUAACAGGAAGCAGCUUGCUGCUUCGCUGACGAGUGGCGGACGGGUGAGUAAUGUCUGGGAAACUGCCUGAUGGAGGGGGAUAACUACUGGAAACGGUAGCUAAUACCGCAUAACGUCGCAAGACCAAAGAGGGGGACCUUCGGGCCUCUUGCCAUCGGAUGUGCCCAGAUGGGAUUAGCUAGUAGGUGGGGUAACGGCUCACCUAGGCGACGAUCCCUAGCUGGUCUGAGAGGAUGACCAGCCACACUGGAACUGAGACACGGUCCAGACUCCUACGGGAGGCAGCAGUGGGGAAUAUUGCACAAUGGGCGCAAGCCUGAUGCAGCCAUGCCGCGUGUAUGAAGAAGGCCUUCGGGUUGUAAAGUACUUUCAGCGGGGAGGAAGGGAGUAAAGUU
rnacentral:rRNA from 1 species